rnacentral:rRNA from 1 species
AUACGGAGGGCGCAAGCGUUGCCCGGAAUCACUGGGUGUAAAGGGUGCGUAGGCGGGGCUGUAAGUCAGAGGUGAAAGCCCUCGGCUCAACCGGGGAAUUGCCUCUGAUACUGCAGCUCUUGAGUCCCGGAGAGGCCGCUGGAAUUCCUGGUGUAGCGGUGAAAUGCGUAGAUAUCAGGAGGAACACCGGAGGCGAAGGCGGGCGGCUGGACGGGGACUGACGCUGAGGCACGAAAGCGUGGGGAGCAAACAGGAUUAGAAACCCCGGUAGUCC